rnacentral:rRNA from 1 species
GUGGGGGAUAUUGCACAAUGGAGGAAACUCUGAUGCAGCGACGCCGCGUGAGUGAAGAAGUAUUUCGGUAUGUAAAGCUCUAUCAGCAGGGAAGAUAAUGACAGUACCUGACUAAGAAGCCCCGGCUAACUACGUGCCAGCAGCCGCGGUAAUACGUAGGGGGCAAGCGUUAUCCGGAUUUACUGGGUGUAAAGGGAGCGUAGACGGAAUGGCAAGUCUGAAGUGAAAUCCUGCGGCUUAACUGCAGAAUUGCUUUGGAAACUGUCAAUCUGGAGUGUUGGAGAGGUAAGCGGAAUUCCUGGUGUAGCGGUGAAAUGCGUAGAUAUCAGGAAGAACACCGGAGGCGAAGGCGGCUUACUGGUCCAUUACUGACGCUGAGGUGCGAAAGCGUGGGGAGCAAACAGGAUUAGAUACCCCUGUAGUCC